CCCAUGGCGAGCAGCAGCGGCGGCAGGUAGGGCGGGCGGGCGGCGCGGUGCCCGCUCCCCGGCCAUGGCGCUGACGGAGCCCCCGAAGGCGGCGCGGCUGUGGCGCGACGCCGCCCUGCGCGCUCGGAAGCUGCGGGACGGCCCCGGCGAGCCCGAGCCCGAGCCGGAUGAGGGGCCUCCGGGGGGCCCGCCGCCGCCACCCGCGGCCCGCCGCCCGCCGCUGGGAGAGCUGGAGGAGUUGAACCUGAGCGGGCGGGGGCUGGAGGAGCUGCCCGAGGAGGUGGGCGCCGCCCUGAGCGGGCUGCGGGUGCUCAGCCUGAGGCGCAACCGGCUGUGCCGCCUGCCCGCCGCCGCCCUGCGGCACCUGGGCCGCCUGGCGGAGCUGGACCUCAGCCACAACCGGCUGCGGGGCCUCGGCGACGGCAGGGCGCUGGCGGGGCUGCGGGGCCUGCGCAAGCUGAGCCUCAGCCACAACGAGCUGGGCGCCGAGAGCCCCGGCCUGCCGCCCCGCCUGGCCGAGCUGCCCUGCCUCGAGGAGCUCGACCUCAGCUUCAACCGCCUGCGCCGCCUGCCCGAGGGCCUGGGCUGCCUGCGGCACCUCCGCGCCCUCGACGUCGAUCACAACCUGCUGCCCUGCUUCCCUGCCCCGCUGCUGGAGCUCGCCGCCCUGGAGGAGCUCGACUGCUCCGGCAACCGGCGCCUGGGGGCCCUGCCCGAGGGCAUCUCUGCCCUGCGCCGCCUCAAGAUCCUCUGGCUGAGCGGCACGGGGCUGUCAGCCCUGCCCGAGGGCCUCUGCCAGCUGGGCGCCCUGGAGAGCCUCAUGCUGGAUGGCAACCAGCUGCGGACUCUACCCGCCGGCUUCAGUGGCUUGCAGCGGCUCAAGAUGCUGAACCUCUCCUCCAAUCUGCUGGGUGAGUUCCCUGCUGCCAUACUGGCACUGCCAGGGCUGGAGGAGCUCUACCUGAGCCGCAACCAGCUCGCUGUGCUGCCUCCUCGCCUCUGCCAGCUCCGCCAGUUGCGCACCCUCUGGCUGGACAACAACCGCAUCCGCUACCUGCCCGACUCCAUCGUGCUCCUGCACAGCCUGGAGGAGUUGGUCCUUCAAGGCAACCAGAUCGCCAUCCUGCCCGAGGGCUUCGGGCAGCUCUCCCGUGUCACCCUGUGGAAGAUCAAAGAUAACCCCCUCAUCCAGCCCCCCUACGAGGUCUGCAUGAAAGGCAUCCCCUACAUUGCAGCCUACCAACAGGAGCUGGCCCAGUCCCAGCCUGCCCUCAAACCCCGUCUCAAGUUGGUCCUCAUGGGGUUGAAGGACGCUGGCAAGACCUUGCUGAGACGAUGCCUGAUGGAGGAGGAUGGGCAGGAGGAUGCGGGAAGCCUGGAAGCAGGGAAUGCCCAGCCCCGAGGGUGUCCUGGGCAACAGCAGGACAGUGGCAGAGCAGCGGGGUGCUGCCCCAUCCCUGAGGAUGCUUCCGAGCGGCAGAAAAAAUGUUCUCACGUGCCAUCCCACCAAGGGAAAGGAGAAAGGCCGUGCCCUGCGCCCUCACUGCCUCCGGAUGCCUUCCAGGUUUCAUCAAGACUGCGACUUUCGGGCAGCAAGGGCAUUGAGGUGACGGACUGGACUGCAGAUGUGGAGAGGGGCCUGACAUUCAUUGUGUAUGAGCUGGCAGGGGACCCGACCUAUUAUGUGGUCCAGUCCUUCUUUCUUUCUCCCGGAGCGCUCUAUGUGCUGGUGGUGAAUCUGAGUGCCUAUGUCCCUCAGCAUUUCUACCCCUCCGUGGGCUAUUUCUUGCACUGGCUGGGUUCCAAGGUGCCCCACGCUGUGGUGUGCAUGGUGGGAACCCACGCUGACCUCUGCGCUGAGCGGGAGUUGGAAGAGAAGUGCCUGGACAUUCAUCACCAGAUUGCCCAGCAGGAAAAGAGGGAUGCUGAGGACCUCCAGAGCCUUGUUCAGCAGGUAGACGAGGCUCUGGGACAGGACUUUGACCUGCGCUGCUCCAGCCCUCACACUGCCUUUUAUGGGGUCUCGGACAAGAACUUGAGACGAAAAAAAGCCCAGUUUCAGUAUCUUCUCAACCACCGGCCUCAGAUCCUCUCUCCUGUGCUGCCUUUCAGCUGCUGGGACCACUGCCAGGUGCGUCGCCUGCGGGACAAACUCCUCUCGGUGGCUGAGCACCGUGAUAUCUUCCCAAACCUGCACCGGGUGUUGCCCAAAUCCUGGCAAGUGCUGGAGGAGCUGCACUUCCAACCACAGGCUCAGCAGCUGUGGCUGAGCUGGUGGGACUCUGCCCGGCUGGGCUUGCAGGCGGGCCUGACAGAGGACAGGCUCCAGAGCGCCCUGUCUUACCUGCACGAGAGUGGGAAGCUGCUCUACUUUGAGGAGCACCUCACGCUGCGGGAGUAUGUGUUCCACAACCUGCCGCAACUCAUCGACAUCCUCAAUGUUUUCUGCCAGCGGGAUGCCACUGUGCUGCUCCAGAAACUUCUGAGUGAUACCCACGUUGAUGAGCUGAGGGCCACUCAGCUCCAUCAUUAUGUGGAGGGCUUCUUGCUGCAUGGCCUCCUCCCUGCCCAUGUUAUCCAUCUCCUCCUCAAGCCCCAUAUCCAGAGCCGGGAGGACCUGCAGCUCAUCCUGGAGCUGCUGGAGAAGAUGGGGCUCUGUUACUGUGUCAACAAACCCAAAUCCAAGCCUUUAAAUGGGGCAGCCGCUUGGUACAAGUUUCCCUGCUACGUGAAGAAUGAGGUGCCCCAUGCAGAGGCGUGGAUCAACGGCGCCAAUCUGAGCGGACAGUCGUUUGUGGUGGAGCAGCUACAGGUUGAGUACAGCUUUCCCUUCAUUUUCCCACCCGGCUUGUUUGCACGCUACAGUGUCCAGAUCAACAGCCACGUGGUUCAGCGCUCAGAUGGCAAAUACCAGAUCUAUGCCUACCGGGGAAAGGUGCCGGUGGUGGUGAGCUACCGGCCUGCCCGGGGAGCCCUGCAGCCAGACACGUUGUCUAUUGCUAGCCACGCAUCCCUACCAAAUAUCUGGACAGCUUGGCAAGCUAUUACUCCCUUAGUGGAAGAACUGAAUGUCCUGCUCCAGGAAUGGCCGGGCCUGUACUACACUGUGCACGUCCUCUGUUCAAAAUGCCUUAAAAGAGGGUCACCCAACCCACACAGUUUUCCAGGAGAACUGCUGAGUCAGCCAAGACCAGAGGGACUGACGGAGAUCAUCUGUCCUAAGAACGGCAGCGAGCGAGUUAAUGUUGCCUUGGUUUACCCCCCCACUCCUACUGUGAUCAGCCCUUGUUCCAAAUAAAUCAUCAGUACUGGUGCCAAAGGUUUUCCACCGGGGAGGAAUGUGGCUGAUGCUCUACAGUGCUCCCAUCUCCAGUUGUGGAAUUGCAUGCUGACAAGGAUCGGUGGUAAUUUGGGACUCUGAGAUGCCACAGGGCAGGGGCAGUUCGCAGGUUCAGGCUUCAUGGCUGGAGUGGACAUGGUCACCUGCAAGCUGGGGAUGACAACGAGACAGUGAGCAAAGCAAUUGCUGCAGAUGGCAGGGCUGCCAUCCAGAAGAAAAGCACUGGGGAAAGGAUUCUGUGGACCCAUUGAUUGCGUAUUGAAACUCAUUGGGAUCUCAUGAUGAAUGUAAAAUUGUUCUUGGUACCAUUUACUUCAGACCUGCUUGGAGGAAAAUCUCUUGAAAUGAACUGUAGCAGAAUUCCCUGGAUUUGUUCCUGGACAAGAAGAAAAUAGUGAUUUAUUGCUGAGCUGUUGCGUGAAGUCCACAUUGCAAAGAUAUCGCCCACUGGAAUCCUUCUCCAGACAGGAGAUCAGCUUCCCUGUGCGCCCAGCUGGUGUGGGAAUCAGGAGUGCUAAAGGAGCAAGAGGACAAAGCAGACACCUUACAGCCCGCUCCAUGGGACUGCAGCCCUGCUGCCACCUCAUCAGGAGCUCAGCGUUACCUGGCCUUUGCAGGCAGCAGGCACCCAGCCUGUUCCAUGUACUGAAGCCAUAAUGCUGGGAGUAUGGCAGUGUGGAGAUCAGUCGAGUUACUUAAUGUGAAAUUGGGAUCACUCAUCCGCCCACUGUUUAGUAACUGGUGUAACUGUUUUCAUCUUUUUUUUUUUUUUUAAUGUGCUAAAGCCAUUUAAUUUUCUAUGCAGCUCAGAAAUGUCUCCCCUUUGCAACUGCCAAGUGAGAGAUCUGUGCAGGAAAACCGUGCCAAGUGGCUGCCAGCCCUUUUGGUUUUGCUGCUUCUCUCUUUUAAGGAUGUAUCCUGGAAUCCUCUGCACACAGCAUCCCUUUGCUGAGCUCCUGUCUCUUAGACUCCACGCAGCAUCACUGAGCCCCAGGGAUUAGUGCCCUGUAUGUCUGAAGGAACUUUCAUUUUUCUUGAAUCAAGCCUUAAGGAAAGAGGGCUUCAAGAUGUUGUUCUAAGAGCAGAGAUAUCCAGUUCAGAGCAUGCAUUCCUACUCUGCCCUUGUCCUCACUUUGAAAGUUAUCAAACUGUUAGAAAAGGGCCGAGGCCUCUGCAGAGCACCCUGCAGACUUUACAGCAAGCUUACAAUGAAGAAAGAGGGCAAAUAGGACUGGGGCAUCAGUUGUCUCCCUGUGGAACUGAUGGUGACUGUAACCCCUUUGGAAGAGGAGAGGAAUCUCCUGACACUUGAUCCUCACUUCACUCAAGAGGGCCGUGUGCUGGUUUUGCUCAUUGGUUUGCAGACCUCUUGCUUGCUAACCAGUUGAUUUCAUGUUAAAACUGGUGCACAUGGACUUGGGAGCAGACCUGUAGGGCUUUCAGCACCUGGAGCUCAUACUGGAGUAUCUUGUGUUACUUAGAAGCAAAACGUGGGAUUCAAACAUGCAUCCGUCCAAAUGAAACUCUUGCAAUAGCAACCUUGCCUUCUGCUGAGUCUGUGUAACACUGAAGAAACUGCAUGUCCCAAAGCAGCAUCCAGAUACGUUGAGGUAGAGCCCAAAGGGUAACAUGGUAUAUCUAGCUCAUCUUAGGGCUUGCAGGAGUUCUUGGAGCCUUCUGACAACUGCAGGGGAACCUAAGGGGUGUGGGAUCACUCUGUUUUAACUCUGUUGAAGGCAACAAGGUCAUAGAAAUAAGAUGGGUUCAGCCCGCUACACUGCCGAGAUGGAUUUGACUAGUGCCCUUUCUGCAUUUUGUCUCUGCUCUGAGUUUGGGAGAUUCAACUUUAAUGCAGAACAGAAAAUGACAUCAGAUUGGGGGUUAUCCUGCCUUGUGGCCUCUGAAAUCAAAAGGAUGAGACUGGGAUCUGUGGAAGUACACGUUCUCUCCCUUGCAGCAUCCUCAGGUGUGCUCGGCUGUGCCGUAGCACUGGAGCUUACGUAGGAUCCCUGUCCCUUUCCCAUUUCUCCUUUGGUCUUCUGAUCUAGUUAAAGUUUGUCAGAGCAGCAGGAGUCCCUUGCUGUGAAAGGCAGAUGUGGCUUUGUUAAAGGGAACUGCAGAUGUUAUUUAGGAGUUCACUAAGUGAUGUGGAAACCCUCCAGCUCGCUCCUACAGAGCCAGAUGCUGGAGCUCAGCUCCAAUCUUUGGUUGGGAUCUUGGGCUGCCAUCCUUGGAAGGGCAGUGUGGGGAGUUGGAGAUGCUGCACCGCAGUAAGCACAAGAAGAGCCAAGGCCUCAGUGUAGCACUCACCACGCGCUUCGUGGCUCAGUUAAUGAACUGUAAUUGCAGGUAUUCACAUAAAUCUGCGUACCUGGGCAGGAUUCUGCGCACACACACACAUGCAUGCCCAGACGUACACGCACCGCACCGACACAUCCUCACCAAAACAACAAAAUAAAAGUGAUUCUGAAUCUCAAGGA